CCUACGGGUGGCAGCAGUGGGGAAUAUUGCACAAUGGGGGAAACCCUGAUGCAGCGACGCCGCGUGAGCGAUGAAGUACCUCGGUAUGUAAAGCUCUAUCAGUAGGGAAGUAGAUGACGGUACCUGACUAAGAAGCCCCGGCCAACUACGUGCCAGCAGCCGCGGUAAUACGUAGGGGGCAAGCGUUAUCCGGAUUUACUGGGCGUAAAGGGAGCGUAGACGGGGAUGCAAGCCAGAUGUGAAAGCCCGGGGCUCAACCCCGGGACUGCAUUUGAAACUGUGUGGCUGGAGUGUCGGAGAGGCAGGCGGAAUUCGUGGUGUAGCGGUGAAAUGCGUAGAUAUUAGGAGGAACACCAGUGGCGAAGGCAGCCUGCUGGACGAUGACUGACGUUGAGGCUCGAAAGCGUGGGGAGCAAACAGGAUUAGAUACCCCAGUAGUC
rnacentral:rRNA from 1 species